UGAGAGAGCUUUGCGUCCCAUUAGCUAGUUGGAGAGGUAACAGCUCACCAAGGCGAUGAUGGGUAGCCGGCCUGAGAGGGUGAACGGCCACAAGGGGACUGAGACACGGCCCUUACUCCUACGGGAGGCAGCAGUGGGGAAUAUUGGACAAUGGACCGAGAGUCUGAUCCAGCAAUUCUGUGUGCACGAUGAAGUUUUUCGGAAUGUAAAGUGCUUUCAGUUGGGAAGAAAUAAAUGACGGUACCAACAGAAGAAGUGACGGCUAAAUACGUGCCAGCAGCCGCGGUAAUACGUAUGUCACGAGCGUUAUCCGGAUUUAUUGGGCGUAAAGCGCGUCUAGGUGGUUAUGUAAGUCUGAUGUGAAAAUGCAGAGCUCAACUCUGUAUUGCGUUGGAAACUGUAUAACUAGAGUACUGGAGAGGUAAGCGGAACUACAAGUGUAGAGGUGAAAUUCGUAGAUAUUUGUAGGA
rnacentral:rRNA from 1 species